rnacentral:rRNA from 1 species
AGAGUUUGAUCCUGGCUCAGAGUGAACGCUGGCGGCAGGCCUAAUACAUGCAAGUCGAACGGCAGCACAGCAGAGCUUGCUCUGUGGGUGGCGAGUGGCGGACGGGUGAGGAAUACGUGGGAAUCUGCCCAGUCGUGGGGGAUAACGUAGGGAAACUUACGCUAAUACCGCAUGCGCCCUUCGGGGGAAAGCCGGGGACCUUCGGGCCUGGCGCGAUUGGAUGAGCCCACGUCGGAUUAGCUAGUUGGCGGGGUAAAGGCCCACCAAGGCGACGAUCCGUAGCUGGUCUGAGAGGAUGAUCAGCCACACUGGGACUGAGACACGGUCCAGACUCCUACGGGAGGCAGCAGUAGGGAAUAUUGGACAAUGGGCGCAAGCCUGAUCCAGCCAUGCCGCGUGAGUGAAGAAGGCCCUCGGGUUGUAAAGCUCUUUUGUCCGGAAAGAAAAGCGCCGGGUUAAUACCCUGGUGUCCUGACGGUACCGGAAGAAUAAGCACCGGCUAACUUCGUG